rnacentral:rRNA from 1 species
AUCGAACGCUGGCGGCAGGCCUAACACAUGCAAGUCGAACGAGUGGCGGACGGGUGAGUAAUGUCUGGGCAACUGCCUGAUGGAGGGGGAUAACUACUGGAAACGGUAGCUAAUACCGCAUACCAUCAGAUGUGCCCAGAUGGGAUUAGCUAGUUGGUGGGGUAACGGCUCACCAAGGCGACGAUCCCUAGCUGGUCUGAGAGGAUUACCGGCAACACUGGAACUGAGACACGGUCCAGACUCCUACGGGAGGCAGCAGUGGGGAAUAUUGCACAAUGGGCGCAAGCCUGAUGCAGCAAUGCCGCGUGUAUGAAGAAGGCCUUCGGGUUGUAAAGUACUUUCAUCGGGGAGGCGUUACCGGCAGAGGAAGCACCGGCUAACUCCGUGCCAGCAGCCGCGGUAAUAC